GCCCAUAGAGGAGGAUCUUCAACGUUUUGAAGAUGUGUCAGGACUGAAAAGAAGCAGCACGCAAAACGCUUCGAAGUCGCCCCCAUUCUAUGGGUGCCGUACC
rnacentral:SRP_RNA from 1 species